CACGCAGGCGGUUAUGCAAGUCUGAUGUGAAAUCUCCGGGCUCAACUCGGAAUCCGCGUUGGAAACUGCAUGACUAGAGUAUUAGAGGGGGAGUCGGAAUUCCUAGUGUAGGGGUGAAAUCUGUUGAUAUUAGGAAGAACACCGGUGGCGAAGGCGGACUCCUGGCUGAAUACUGACGCUGAGGUGCGAAAGCAUAGGGAGCAGACAGGAUUAGACUACCCUGGUAGUCUAUGCUGUAAACGAUGUGCACUUGGUGUUGGGCCGAUUAGGUUCAGUGCCGAAGCUAACGCGAUAAGUGCACCGCCUGGGGAGUAUGCCCGCAAGGGUGAA
rnacentral:rRNA from 1 species